rnacentral:rRNA from 1 species
GAGUUUGAUCAUGGCUCAGAUUGAACGCUGGCGGCAUGCCUUACACAUUCAAGUCGAGCGGCAGCGCGGGGGCAACCCUGGCGGCGAGCGGCGAACGGGUGAGUAAUACAUCGGAACGUGUCCUGUCGUGGGGGAUAACCAGUCGAAAGAUUGGCUAAUACCGCAUGACCUCGUAAGAGAAAAGCGGGGGACCGUAAGGCCUCGCGCGACUGGAGCGGCCGAUGUCGGAUUAGCUAGUUGGCGGGGUAAAAGCCCACCAAGGCGACGAUCCGUAGCUGGUUUGAGAGAACGACCAGCCACACUGGGACUGAGACACGGCCCAGACUCCUACGGGAGGCAGCAGUAGGGAAUUUUGGACAAUGGGGGCAACCCUGAUCCAGCCAUGCCGCGUGUGUGAAGAAGGCCUU